rnacentral:lncRNA from 1 species
GGCACGUGCCUGUAUUCCCAGCUACUCAGGAGGCUGAGGCGGGUGGAUCACUUCAACCCAGGAGUUUGAGACCAGCCUAGGCAAUAUGGAAAAGCCCUUUCUCUACCAAAAACAAAAAUUGGUUGGGCAUGGUGGCAUGCACCUAUAGUCCCAGCUACUCAGGAGGCUGAGGUGGGAGGAUGGUUUGAGCCCAGGAGGUGGAGGUUGCAGUGAGCUGAGAUCGCGUCACUGCACUACAGCCUGGGUGACAGCUAAACCCUGUCUAAAAAAAAAGAAAAAAGAAAAAAUAUCUCCUCUGAUAAAUACCAGUGGAUUGAUCCUUGAAGCGACAGUGGUGUGGACAGUAGUGUCCAUCAUUGUAUGUGCAGGGCCGUUCAAGGAUGCUGGAUCAGGUGUCCCGGGCCAGGCCAGGAUCUGCCGUUUCAUCAGGUCACAGUAGCCUGCACAUUGGCGUCAACAGGCUUGGCUCAGUUAGGAUGGGAAACGCGACUGGUUUUCCCUCUACUGUCUCCGUGGCUGCGUGUGGAGCGUCCGCUAAUGCGUGUGGGGGGAAGAAUGUUGCAGGGACCUGCGUGCACUGGGUCACAGCUGGGGUGGCACCUUCUCCAUGUUGCAGGCGGGUGUCUGUGCGCUCCUGCUCCCCUUCCAAUUUGCUCAGAGCUGACUGCUGCCUCUCACUUCCAAGCAGCUGCUCUCCCAUGGGUGAUGGUGAUCCAGAGGCCAUGGAAGAGUCUCCAAG